rnacentral:rRNA from 1 species
UCGUGCCGUGAGGUGUCCUGUUAAGUCAGGCAACGAGCGAGACCUGUAUCCAUUGUUGCUAACGCGUUCGCAAGAAUGAGCGAGCACACUAUGGAGACUGCCUUCGAAAGGAGGAGGAAGGUGCAGGCUACGGUAGGUCAGUAUGCCCCGAAUCUCCUGGGCUACACGCGCGCAACAAUGGUCGUGACAAUGGGAUGCGACUCUGAAAAGAGAAGCCAAUCCUUGAAACGCGAUCUUAGUCUGGAUCGAGGAUUGCAACUCAUCCUCGUGACAACGGAAUCCCUAGUAACCAGAAGUUAGCAUCUUCCGGUGAAUAUGUCCCUGCCUCUUGCACACACCGCCCGUCAAAUCACCCGAGCAGGCUUUAGGUGAGACUUAUUGCGUAAAUAAGCCGAACCUAGAGUCAGUGAGGGGGGUUAAGUCGUAACAAGGUAGCCGUAGGGGAAUCUGCGGCUGGAUCACCUCCA